rnacentral:rRNA from 1 species
GAUGAACGCUGGCGGCGUGCCUAAUACAUGCAAGUCGAGCGAACAGACGAGGAACUUGCUCCUCUGACGUUAGCGGCGGACGGGUGAGUAACACGUGGAGAACCUACCUAUAAGACUGGGAUAACUUCGGGAAACCGGAGCUAAUACCGGAUAAUAUAUUUAACCGCAUGGUUCAAUAGUGAAAGACGGUUUUGCUGUCACUUAUAGAUGGAUCCGCGCCGCAUUAGCUAGUUGGUAAGGUAACGGCUUACCAAGGCAACGAUGCGUAGCCGACCUGAGAGGGUGAUCGGCCACACUGGAACUGAGACACGGUCCAGACUCCUAGGGGAGGCAGAAUUAGGGAAUCUUCCGCAAUGAGCGAAAGCUUGACGGAGAAACGCCGCGUGAGUGAUGAAGGUCUUCGGAUCGUAAAACUCGGUUAUUAGGGAAGAACAAAUGUGUAAGUAACUACGCACGUCUUGACGGUACCUAAUCAGAAAGCCACGGCUAACUACGUG